UAAAUAUGCACAUAUUUUCUUUUGGUGGAUAUUGCAGAGAAGUUUCAUCUUGCGAUAUAUUGCGAUGUGAAAGCAUGUAUUGCGAUAUGUAUUGCAAUAUAUUGCGUGAAGUAUUUUUACAAAAAAAACUACUUAUAAUCGAGGAAAUGCUUGAUUUAUAGAGCAAAUACACAG